CUCUCCCCCGCCUUGGUCUGUCCCAACGCCGGCACCGCAGAUUUAAAGGGGCCGCGCCCCGAAAAAAGGUUUGCCAGGUGGCAGCAGGAGGAGCGCAGCAUCCUGGCAGGUUGGCUACAGAGAGCGGCGGGCUGAGCCUGGUGGGAAACAACACGCAGCUGAAAGGACCUUCGCCAUAAAUCUGGAGGUCAAGGCGUGAUGAUGGGGGAAUCAAAAAGCACCACGAGCCGUUUAUGAGCACAAGAGAGGUCAAUCCAGGAGCAAAGCAUUUUGCUCGGAGCCACGGCGGAAAACAUAUUGUUGCUCUGAGAGCUCCAUCCAUGCAGGGAGGUGGAAAGUUCACUUUAAAAAUAACUGUAGCUCGGGCCCUUGAGCACUCAGGCUGCACCUGGUUAAUUCACUGUGUUUUCACACGCACGUGUAAUGAGUGUGGGUGAGCGUCUGCCUGUCUUGUUUCUACACCCUACAUCCAUUCACUGGAGAUAGGAGUACUGGAGAUACAGGGGCAGCCCGAGCAGGCACAGAGCUGCCAGUGUGCAACCGUGGUGUGCACCAUGCAGGUGUGCAUGGCAUGAGCAGUGCGUGCAUAGUGUGUGCACCGUGUGCUGGGUGUUGCACCACGUGCAGUGUGUGCAGAGCGCAUGUGUGCACUGUGUGCAACGUUGCAUGUGCCGUGGAUAGCACGUGCAGUGUGUGCAGUGUGCAUG
rnacentral:lncRNA from 1 species